AAAAAAAAGAAAACCAAAUAAAAAACUUUUGCAUGGCUUUUUUUUUUUUUAGAGCUCUUUUCUCCCAAUUUCCUCCCACCCAUUCAAUGCUGUUUUAUUCCUUGCAUUCAAUCUUAAAGAAUAAGGGUGCGGGAGACCCUCACCCCGACCCCGCAGCCUUCCCUGCCGCUCUACCUCACCAUCAGAAAUUAAUGUCCCCUGGGACGUCCCUCACGUCCUCGUUCCCUCCGGGCAUUUUGUAAUUGCUCCCCACUGCCUCUACCAGCAGCUGCUCAAAUUCAUUCACAAACCAACAGCAUCUCCCCGCAGCGCUCCCGCUCCGGGAUGCCGCAAGGGAAAAACCCGUCCGGGUGCUGCCACCCACCCUCCUGCCCACCCCGAUCCCGAGCAUCGCUCCCCCCGCCUCCGGAGAGGGACCCCCGCGUCGGAGACGGGUGACGGCUGAGCACAGCGCCCGGCUGCCGACGGCAAGCGGCACGGCCGAGUUUCGCCUGCAAAUUCUCCCAGGGACCUACCAGGCUCCCUCCGAGUCCUUCCAGCAUCUAACACAUCCAGCGCGCUCCUUAUUCCCGGAGAGAUCGGCGAGGCGUUGGUCUAACCCUGCCUGUCCACAGUGCCUCUUCUCCCGGUAUUCGCUCUGCUCUCUACCGCUGCAAUAAAGCUCCGCGCGCUGCCAAGCGAGCUUUGGAGCGGCGAUCAAUGCAAUAUUUCAGCGCGAUGCCAGCGAUCAGCACCGGCUGCUCUCUGCAGAGCAAUGGCACAGUGUCCACCCAGACAAGUUUCCUACUGUAACUUCAGUGAAUGCGGUUAUUCAGGCUAACGGCAGCUGAUUUAUCAUGGCAGACACCCGGGGAAAUCUUUCGACUCCAGAGACUGGAGGCUCCUCGCCGGGCUGCCGCGAUGAACGCCGUGAGCUCGGCGCGGCUCGCCGUGCUCUCGUUCCACCCGUGCUCGAACGCCUUCGCUGCCACCAAAUUACGUUAGCUAACCGCGAUGGGGAGCGUCGGUUAACGGAGGCGAUGCCACUUCCCCACGACACAAGCCACCGGCUCCAUCCUCGCCGCUUUCCUCCCAGCCUUCCCAAAUCCCAAGCAGAGGAGUAAAGUUGACGGACCCUUUUGUUUCCAGAGAGCUGGCACGUGUUGUGGUUUACUGGGCUAAUAAAUCUGCCGUGGUCUGCGCCUUUUAAUGACUGCAGCAUUAAUAACAAGUUUCCAUGGAGCUGCUUAAAAGUUUACAGGGUGUGUGCGUUAUCAGGGGAACCCCGUGCUUUCUGACCUCCUGCUUCAAAAGUCACAACCAGCAGCUUUUUUUUUUUUUUUGCAAUAAGAGAACAAAUAAAUCCUGA